rnacentral:ribozyme from 14 species
CACUGAGUUCCAAUUUGUUUUUGAAUUUCUUACGAAUGACAAAGAAACCAAAAGCCGCAACGAUGGAAAUCAAAAUUAGAACAAUAAACACAGUUACUCCAGUUUUUAAUCCACCGCC